rnacentral:rRNA from 1 species
GCGAAAACUUUACAAUGCUGGCAACAGCGAUAAGGGAACCUCGAGUGCCAGGUUAUAAAUCUGGCUGUCGAGAUGCCUAAAAAGCAUUUCAUAGCAAGGGCCGGGCAAGACCGGUGCCAGCCGCCGCGGUAACACCGGCGGCUCGAGUGGUAACCGUUAUUAUUGGGUCUAAAGGGUCUGUAGCCGGCCGGAUAAGUCUCUUGAGAAAUCUGGCAGCUUAACUGUCAGGCUUUCAGGAGAUACUGUCUGGCUCGAGGCCGGGAGAGGUGAGAGGUACGUCAAGGGUAGGGGUGAAAUCUUGUAAUCCUUGAAGGACAACCAGUGGCGAAGGCGUCUCACCAGAACGGACCUUACGGCACGGGACGAAAGCUAGGGGCACGAACC